AAAACAAGGUUAUGGAGAAAACAUGUACCAUGCUGCGUCCCAUUGCCUUGUAUGGUGGCUGUCGCUGCUGAGUAAGCAUUGUCCUCCUCCUUCAUCCACCAAGGAAACACUGUGGUGUGCCUGAAUAAAUGAGCUCCACAACACUUUGCUGACAUAAGGGUUGCCCCCAUUUUAAAGGGUCACAGAAGAAAGGCUUACCUGUGGCUUGCUAUCUGAGGAAAGGUUCGGACGCACACUCCUAUAACCCUUGGCAGCCAGAGAAGACGGCUGGGCAUCCCCAUUGGCAUCAGUGGUGGACGACGACCUCCAAUCAUCUAUGGUGGGAAAGAAAACUCAGAUCACAGAGGAUUCCCUCUAGCUACAGGAUAAGUGAAAGGAGGGGACUUUUCUUCCAUUUUUUUCCCUUUUUUUUUUUUUAAUUAGGCAACAAGAAAUAAUUCCAAUAAAGCAACAGAAGUAACAGCAUAAGCAGCCAAUGUUUGUACCUGUUUCUGAGUUUUCUGGCUCCAGACCUAAGCAUUUCACAGAAAGGAGGGACAGAGGAGGUGGGGGUGGAGGAUAGGCAGAGAGGAAGGGGAAAAAAAUAAACCAUUACAUUUACAGAAAACAUGUACCAAUUGAAGUUAAGAGUCAAGCUACUUCAUUUCACACAUAAAAUGCUUUCUGACAGGGUUGCCUAAUUACCAUAGAGACCGGCCCUAAACAUGAUGCCCUCCUUGUUUCUGACCUUUGUAAACACAAGGCAAUUCAUUCAGAGCAAUGAAGAAACAAUUGUUCAUUGACAUUCUUAUUUCAGAGGCAAAAAGGCAGCCCAGCUUGCUACUUUUUAAAGCUGCAGCUUGACAUCCAGACACCGCAAAUUACUGGAAAUGCAGGGACCCUGUGUUCAGCCAUGACACAGAUUAUGAAGACAUAUCUAUCCUCAUCAACAUCACUAUAUAUGAUUAAUUGAGAUACAGGACUGCCAACAAAUAGAUCAGGUCUGCAGAAAAAGUGCACGAGGGGAGUUAUAAGAUACGAUGUCACUUUACAACCCAGUCCCUGCAGCUACACAAAGCAGCCUCAUCACAUAUUUACCCACCUCCCACUGGGCUCCUCCCCACCCCUCAUUUUGCUGUUUAAGUUAUAUGCAAAAAGC